rnacentral:rRNA from 1 species
CGUGUAGGCGGGAGAGCAAGUCGGACGUGAAAGGCUUUCGCUCAACGAGAGACGGCCGUUCGAUACUGUUCUUCUUGAGGGUCGAAGAGGAGCGUGGAAUUCCCGGUGUAGCGGUGAAAUGCGUAGAGAUCGGGAGGAACACCCGUGGCGAAGGCGGCGCUCUGGUCGGCCCCUGACGCUGAGACGCGAAAGCGUGGGGAGCGAACA